rnacentral:tRNA from 1 species
UAUAUUUUAAUGUAUUUUUAUGCAUAUAAAUUUUUGAAUUUUAAAGAAAUAGUUUGGUCUAUUAAAUAUAA